UAAGUUAUGAUUUUAUAAUGCGUCUUUUAGUUUUAAAAAAUAACAUAUUUGGAUUACGACUCAAGGAAAACUUAAUAGGGGUUGUCAUUAUUUAGAACCACUGAAUAUCCUUUAAAGUCGGGGCAUUUUUCUUUCCCAGCCUUGCUACUUGCCUUAUUAUUUUAUGUCCAGGUUUAAGCAGUGGCUGUUAUGGUCUCUAUUUUCAGUUUUAACCCUCACCAUCAUCAAUAUUCACGGCUAACAGUUACCGCAAUCAAUUGCAGUAACGUUCAUUAUGUACGCAAACUAUAAAUGCCUGAUUUUUGUUGCAAGUAGUUGUAAAUCAAGCUGCUUUUUCUUGUUUUAGAUUCCACCCACAAGUGUGCCUGUCAUUGUGAGAGAAUAUAGAAGAGAUCACCUGUGGUCGUAGUUCAAGACGGCUCGUAAAUGUAUUCCAGAGGAUUUUCCACAAUUUUGCUCAUGUUGUCGACCAUCAUUCUGGUCAAUCGCAACGGAACAAUAAGGAUAGAAAUUUUUUUUUUUUCACAUGUUCUUUCCUCUGUUCUUUCUUCAUGGAAUAAGGCUAUAGGCUGACAUGGUUUCCUGUGUUAUUUUUUUUUCUCCUUUUUUCCUCUUAAACUGACUCAGUGAAGAGUGCAAUCCGUUCGCCUCUCCGGGCAGAAUUGAUCCUAUCCGUUCGCCUCUCCGGGCAGAAUUGAUCCUAUCUCAUAUAUAUUGUAGACAAGCCAUGGUUUGUUCUUUUUCCUCCCUUGAGGUAUCAAAGGGAUGAUUUUGCUGCAAAUUUGACUCUUUUUUUUCCCAGAAGAGUCUGAUUUUAUUCUGCCAUGGAAUAAUACCUCUUAUCUUCUCUUAGAAAAUAUAAUUUCAUUAUAAGUUCUGAUCGUAUUUAGUUUUUUUUUUUAUAUAUAAGACUUAGAAUUAUUUAAAGCUUUUCUCUAACUCAUAAAUAAAAAGAUAAUGUGUUUUAGUGUAUUCGAAUUUACGU
rnacentral:lncRNA from 1 species